UACAGAGGGUGCGAGCGUUGUUCGGAAUUAUUGGGCGUAAAGGGCGCGUAGGCGGUGUUGUAAGUCACCUGUGAAACCUCUGGGCUUAACUCAGAGCCUGCAGGCGAAACUGCAAUGCUGGAGGGUGGGAGAGGUGCGUGGAAUUCCUGGUGUAGCGGUGAAAUGCGUAGAUAUCAGGAGGAACACCGGUGGCGAAGGCGCUCAUCUGGCCCAAUACUGACGCUGAGGCGCGAAAGCUAGGGGAGCAAACGGG
rnacentral:rRNA from 1 species